rnacentral:lncRNA from 1 species
UUGAGUACUGGCCUUUCGAGGGAUGGGCAGCCGAACUUGGGUUUUUGGUGGCAAGGGAUGUGCAGAGGCAGAAUCUGUUCUUUGUCCACACACCGUCGGAGCAAUGCCCAACACAAAGCUGGCCAUCAAUCCUUUCUCGUUGAAGAGGCAAAUGAGGUGAACAAGCAAAUGAGCAGGAACCUGUAGCAACAUCAGCAUUUAAUUCAAGGGAGUCAUUGCAGAUACUCGGAUCACCAGAGACAAGAGGCCAACAUUUCCUGAAACAAGAGCCACACGAAGACGAAACGGGUACGGCACAGGCUGCGUGGGGUCGCCACCACUUCCAAGCACCCCCACCCUUCUGGAAGGCCAAUGUGUUCUACUCCAGGAAACAGACCAUGUUGUAGUGGCCCCAAAGGACCACCCAAGUCAGACUGUGGCUGAGCAAAGUUGGCCUGGGAAAUCCUGGAUUGGAGGUAAGUUCCCUGAUUUUGAAUUUUACGCGGCUAGUGAUCACUGAAGAGGAACACG